AGCCAUUUCCUGCUUCCUAGGAGUGCAGUGCUCCACACGGCCAGGCCGCAGCAGCGUCGCCUAUGGCACUGCCAUCCUCCUGGAUGCCCAAGGCCCUCUGCGAUGUCUCCACCUGCAGAGCCGGGACUCCUAUCUCUCCCAGGCUGCCUGCCAGGCGUGCCAGCGUGACCUGUGACCUUGAGUGACUCUCACUGCCCUCCUGAACUCACUUUUGUGACCCAGCCCUCAACUUGUCCUCCAGUGGCCUGAUCACUUCAGAAGCUUCUAGUGAGUCCUUACAGAGUUCCUCCCAGCCUGGGGCAGUCCAGCUUUUCCAGCUGAAGGAGCAGCAGAAACAAAUGCCUCAUCCCUGCACAUGGCUAUAACUCCCGAGGAAGGAUUGUUCCCAGAGGACGUCGGUAGCCUGCUGAGACCCUGCCUAGAGGAGGAAGGGGAGGAAG
rnacentral:lncRNA from 1 species